GACAGAGGGUGCAAACGUUGCUCGGAAUUACUGGGCGUAAAGCGCGUGUAGGCGGUUUCGCAAGUCAGGUGUGAAAGCCCGGGGCUCAACCCCGGAAGUGCACUUGAUACUACGGAGCUUGAGUACUGAAGAGGAGAGCGGAAUUCCCGGUGUAGAGGUGAAAUUCGUAGAUAUCGGGAGGAACACCAGUGGCGAAGGCGGCGAUCUGGGAAGAUACUGACGCUGAGGUGCGAAAGCGUGGGGAGCAAACAGG
rnacentral:rRNA from 1 species